rnacentral:rRNA from 1 species
AUGGGAACGCGAAGAACCUUACCUAGACUUGACAUCUCCUGAAUAGUGUAGAGAUACAUGAAGCCCUUCGGGGCGAGGAAGACAGGUGGUGCAUGGUUGUCGUCAGCUCGUGUCGUGAGAUGUUGGGUUAAGUCCCGCAACGAGCGCAACCCUUAUUACUAGUUGCUACCAUUAAGUUGAGCACUCUAGUGAGACUGCCCGGGGUUAACCGGGAGGAAGGCGGGGAGUGACGUCAAAUCAUCAUGCCCCUUAUGUCUAGGGCAACACACGUGCUACAAUGGUGAGUACAGAUAGAUGCGAUACCGCAAGGUGGAGCCAAACUCUAAAACUCAUCCCAGUUCGAUUGUAGCUGCAACUCGCCUACAUGAAGUUGGAGUUGCUAGUAAUCGCGAAUCAGAAUGUCGC